rnacentral:rRNA from 1 species
UACAGAGGUCUCAAGCGUUGUUCGGAUUCAUUGGGCGUAAAGGGUGUGUAGGUGGCGCGCUAAGUCGGGUGUGAAAUUUCGGAGCUUAACUCCGAAACUGCAUUCGAUACUGGCGUGCUUGAGGACUGGAGAGGAGACUGGAAUUUACGGUGUAGCAGUGAAAUGCGUAGAUAUCGUAAGGAAGACCAGUGGCGAAGGCGGGUCUCUGGACAGUUCCCGACACUGAGACACGAAGGCCAGGGGAGCAAACGGG